AACAAUCAUAAAGUUUUUUAGACAACAUAUGUUUCACAAAAUCACCAAUUCUAACUAACUCGUCCUAAUCUCCAUGCACAAUAAUUACCUUAGCUUGAUUAAUCAUAUAGUGGCAGUUUUUGUAAGGGAUCGUCAGAUUUCAAUUCAAAGCCUGAAGAUCAAACAAAGCAAUACCUAAAGUGUCUUGCUACUAACAUUGACAAAUUUCAAAAGCAUUCCUGAGAGAAAAUGCAACAGCUCAAGCUCAAGAACCGGUGCGCUUUUGCCAAAUAUGCCUAAACAAAAGUAGCCUGCCAAACACCAAAAAUAAAUAUACAACAACAACAACAAUCCAGUAUAAUCCUACUAAUAAGGUCUGGGGAGGGUAGUGUGUACGCAGAACUUAUCCCUACCCUUUGAUAGAGAGGCUGUUUUCGAUAGACCCUCGGCUCCCUCCCUCCAAGAACUCUCCACCUUGCUCUUGAGUUAACUCAAACUCACAACCUCUUGGUUGGGAACGAAGAAUGAUUACCAGUAGAGCAACCCACUCUUGUCAAAUUUCAAUAACUAAAAAUAAAUAUAUUCAAUAUUAAUAAACAAUACCCCAAUAAAAUUAUAGAAAUUUAAAAGAAAAAGGACAGCAAGAUAAAGGAAUCAAAACAAGAAGGGCCAAGGAUAAUGCCAAAUAAAUUGACAGAAAAUAGUAAUUUUUUAUUUGGGCAUUUCCCCAAAUUCUGAAAUAAGAAUAAUUCGGGAUUGGAGAGGAAGAUAGAGAGACCAGAGAAGGAAAGGACAGAAUCAGAUACAACCCCAGCAAAAAAUGAUUCAAAAGAACAGAAAAACAAAUAGAAAGAUUAACACAUUCAUCAAAUACUUAUUACUAUGAAGUAACAAAAGGAAGAAAAGAAAAAUACUCACCAGAAUCCAAAAAUAAAACAAAGAGCAAAGAUUAAUUGAAAACAAUAUAGAGAACCUUUGUUAAAAAUUAAGCAACCCAAGAAAGCACAGAGGAGAGAGCAAGAGAGACGCCGG
rnacentral:lncRNA from 1 species